rnacentral:lncRNA from 1 species
AUGGUAUUCCAUCGUAGGUUCAUCUUCUGGCAAGUACAGCUUCGUGGAGAUUUAUCAAAUUGUAUCCCUUUACCUUAUAUCAAUUCUUUUGGCCUGAGUUGGCUUCGUGGUGUCCGGCGGCCUGUGGCUUAUUCUCCCACCUUUAGGAAGGGUGGUGAUUUCAGCCUCCCAGUUUUCCCUGCUCCAAUAACCCGCUCUUCCUCGGACCGAAGUCCGAGUUGGCUUCUUGGAGUCUGGUAAUCGCUGAGGACCAGCAAGCCAGUUUUCCCUACUCCAAUAACCCGCUCUUCCUCGGACUGGAGUCUGAGUUGGCAUCGUGGAGUAUGGUAAUCGCUGGUGAUUGAAAAGCACAAUAAAAGGUUGAUUUCUGUUAAUAAAAGAUUGGUUUCCUUUCUUAUACUGUUUAAAAUUUCUCCUUUUACUUCUUUUCACACCGGGAUCCUGCCGACUACGCCAACUGUCGCGAGCACCGAUUUUACAUUCGGGAUCCCGGGGGGAAGUAAAGAAGACUAAUGGCAUUUCAGGUUCAGCAUUGCAUUUAAUGUCAGAUUCAUUUCUCAUAGGGUAGACAUAUUGUCUUAACGAUGUUAUAGCAAUAUAAUAUAGCACUAGUACAAUCAAGAUGUAUAAACAUGUACGGCCUAUAAUAGCAGGCAGCAGGCUAUUGCCCGUAAGCUGAUCUAACAUAUUCAUAAGAUGGUAUACGACCUGAGUUCGUGGCGAGGUUGAUGUUCUGGCGGCGAGCAGGGUCGAGCUGCGACUUGGAUUCUCGGCGCGCUGUCUCGUGGUCUAGUUUCGGUUCCGAGGUCUGCAACAGGAAGUCCGUCUGACAGCGUCUCUGCUACAUGGCUGUGGCGAGAAGUCUUCCUUCUGCCCUGUGGCUUCUGCUCUGUGGUCUUUUAUACUCUUUCCAUCUCUAUCUAGUACAUGCAUAUGGGCUAUCUAGGUCUACGCCUAAGCACAUGUUCGAUGGUGUCAUAUCUUGUGCAAUACGUCAUCACCUUAUUUUAAUCGCUUUAAACAUUCCUUAAUCACUUCAAACAUUUCACUCUACUAGGGGUUACAUUCCUUAUCUAUCUUUGCCUUUGGGUUACAUGUUCACUACAACAAGGACAACAUUUCAAAUGAAGAGCUUAGGCUUGACCUUGUGAUUGUUGU